rnacentral:rRNA from 1 species
UACGGAGGGUGCGAGCGUUGUCCGGAAUCACUGGCGUAAAGGGCGCGUAGGCGGCCUGAUAAGUAGGGGGUGAAAUCCUGCGGCUUAACCGCAGGGCUGCCUUCUAAACUGUCAGGCUGGAGCACAGUAGAGGCAGGUGGAAUUCCCGGUGUAGCGGUGGAAUGCGUAGAGAUCGGGAAGAACACCGGAGGCGAAGGCGGCUUGCUGGGCGUAGUCUGACGCUGAGGCGCGAAAGCGUGGGGAGCGAACAGG